ACGCACGCUGGCGGCAGGCUUCACACAUGCAAGUCGAACGCGUGCAGCAAUGCACGAGUGGCGCACGGGUGAGUAACGAGUGGAUAUCUGCCUUUUGGUUCGGAAUAACCCCGGGAAACUGGGGCUAAUACCGGAUGGUUCCUACGGGAUAAAGAUUUAUCGCCAAAAGAUGAGUCCGCGUCCGAUUAGCUAGUUGGUGAGGUAAUGGCUCACCAAGGCGACGAUCGGUAGCUGGUCUGAGAGGACGAUCAGCCACACUGGGACUGAGACACGGCCCAGACUCCUACGGGAGGCAGCAGUGGGGAAUAUUGGACAAUGGGGGCAACCCUGAUCCAGCCAUGCCGCGUGAGUGAUGAAGGCCUUCGGGUUGUAAAGCUCUUUUGGCGGGGACGAUGAUGACGGUACCCGCAGAAUAAGCCCCGGCUAACUUCGUG
rnacentral:rRNA from 1 species